CGCUCCCGCCCCGCCCGCGCCGCGCCGGGGCCGCCGGUCAGCGGCGGGAGCUGCCGGACCGUCCGCACCGCCGACAACUUUGGGGAGAGCGAGCCCAGCGCGGAGCCGUCCCCGGGAGCGCCCCGCCAGCUCCUACUCCAAGAGAUGGCAAGAAAAAGGCAAAUAACUGCACACAUGUUACAACUUGGAGCCUACCUUGCAUGCAUUCCACAGGGCUGUUCUCAUUAUAAAGGAAGGAACCAUAUUUUCAUUCCCAUCACAGAGGAACCACAGUUCUCCAGUAAAAGUAAGUGCAAGUCCACCAGCACAAAGGCAUGUGGAAAGGACAGUAUCCUGGCUCUGGGAGGCUUUUAAGCAGUUGUGAACAUCUGAGCAUUACUUUUGAAAUGAGCUGUCAGUUAAAAGACUGCCACAUUUGAAAAAUCCACAGAGUUCCCAAACAAUGAGAUGAAAAGUUGCUCUGAAUGAGGGGUUCUCAGCCCUGUUAAGGACACAGUUUCCCAGUCCCACCAGUCUGACAAGGGCCUGUUGCCAUCUAGUGGAUUCCCAUCGACUGGUCCCUCCGCACAGCAAAUGCCACUAGAUGGAGUGUUAAGAAGGGAUUCUGAAUUCCUACUUUUUUAAGUGUCCAGCAGCUCAGAUUUUCAAAGUCUCAAAAAAUUACAGGCCCAGAAUUACCCUGAAAUUGAGGUGGAUUUCACCAACGCUCUCAGUUUCAUGAGAAAUUCCAGGCUAUAGAUUUCCAAGUGUAAUACUGAAACACUGCAGAAAAAUACUCCUGUGUCAACAUAAUUUACAUCACCUCAGGAGUUUCUAUCACUCAUGCAGGCAUCUCCUUCACUGAGAUAUCUCUGGUGGCAACACAUGUUACACAACCUGCAUUCUGCUGGUGUAAAUAGUGAUGUACAGACCUGGUCUGUGCUACUUUUGUGAGAAAUACCUCAUCAGCUCUCUGCUAUGGGAAUCCUCACUUCCAUGAAUAAGCAUCAGCUCUAAAACUUCUCCAAGUCUCUACCAUGGAGUAUCAAUUCCCAUCUCUGGAUUAUCUCAGAAUAAGAAAUUCUACCUCGUCACACAUGGCAAGAAAAGGGGUACUUACUGCCCAUGGAGUUCAUAGGGAGGACAGGAGAGGAGGAACUCAUCUGCUCCACAUCUGUAGCUAAUGGGAAAGUGAAAAUGAGAAAGAUGUGAUGUGCACGUUACUGAGAAGGUUUUAUUUUGAAAACUUUAAUUUACACUGAAAUUGAAUACAGGUGUCUUCAAUCACUUGAGGAAGCUGCUCUGAGAAGCGGGUAAUUUUAACAGCAUCUGCUUUCCCCCUUUCAAGGUAUUUCUCUCAUACACAUUAUCUGUAGAUCUACUUUUCUGAGCAGUCAUAUUAGUAAUUUCUAACUUGUGAUGGUCUGAGAAUAUCAAUUCAGAGCAACUUCCAGCACAAAGAAAGUCUAAAUUACAUCAGCUUUAAACUCUAUGCAGAGCAUUAUUGUGGAAUGAAAGGACAUGAUGAUCUCCCAUCUGCAUCCAGUGAACCUUCAAAAGAUUACUGAUCAGAAGAGAGAUCCUCUUCCAAAGACUGGCAAGCUGCUGGCAUUUGUUCUGGAGCAGCAUCAGAAACAAGUAUCUUUAAGCACAGGACACUCCAAAGCUUUAUUUUCUAACAGCUGAGAAAAGAAGCAGAACUUCCUGCCUGUGUUUGCCAAUGAAAACCCUCAAAGUCAGAAUGUGAUCAAAAACAAAUGCCAGAUUGCCCUCUGUGUUUUGGAAAGAAUCCACCUUUCCAGGACCCAAACCAGAGAAAACCAUCUUGCAGUAACAGGGUCAGUUUUAACCCGGCAUGAGGUAAAGCAAAGAUGCAUUCUUUGGGCUUGAUCUCUCUCAAAAGACCACAGCCCCUCUCAGCACAUCACCACCAACACCCAAGUCGAGCAGCUGAGUCUCCAUCUCCAUCAUUUUAAUGCUGGUAGGUCCCAUAUGAUUAUAUAUUCUAUAACUCUUGUUUAGCUCUAAGACCCAAUAAAUGCACACUACAAGUUUACAUUCCUAACCACAGAACACAGCCCCAGAAGCACAACUCCAGCCCACAGCCAGGCUUUGCUGCCAGCCCGAAUCCUGCCUUUCACAUUCUUGCAAUUCCCAUUUCUCAGGCAGCAGGCAGUUCCCUGAGGACCAGUGUUUACACUGAAAGUGCAAAGUUCUGCUCUAAUUAGGCAAACCACAAACAAAUGUAAACACUUCAGCAGACCAUUUUUACAGAACACGAGAGCAGACACUGCACCACACUGACUAAAUCCUCCUGCCAUACCUUCCUACCACUACUCAAAGCAGCUGUAGUUCAUCGUGUUCAACACCAGCCAUAGCUGAGAACAGCAACAAACACAAUUACAGAUUUAUUCAGCAAUGCCCUGGCUCGUUCCUGUCCUAUUCCCCACUGAAUUAUCAAGACAUUUACUGCCUAGAACAUCUACACGUUAAUUUAUCAUCUUGCUUGGUUCUUGCACCGGUGUUCAGAAAGCUGCAUGUGACAUGCCCACUGCAGACUUCGCAACAGGCUCUGGAUUACACUGCACAGAUCUCUGAUGUGCUCAGAGAAGAAGAAUUAUUUUGCAUCUUCCUAUUUCCCACCGUAAUACUACAGCCUCCCUGAUUUAGGAACUGGCAGGCCAUUUACUAUACAUGUUUUGUACGGAAAAAAAAGAUUCUUCAUAUGCAGAACAGCCAUUUUGGGUUCCUGGAAAGAGCUUUGUACUUCUGCCUAUUGAAGGCUACGUAUGCUUUCACAUACAGCCAAAUUAAGCCAAAAAAUAAGUGCAGGUUAAAGUUACUCUGACUCUUUUGAGAGUGGUGCAGAUUCAGCACUGAGCACAACUCGGCUUUCAGGAAGGCUGAGGGACCAGCUCAGCAGAUGGUCACUCCAGGGUUACCUGCUGCUCUGGCACACAGAGGUCACUGCCCGGCACGCGGCCAGAUGGCACAGGGCAGGCACUUGAGAAGCUGCUGUGAGAGGAACGGCCACUUAGGGCAGUAAGCUACACCUGCCAACAUCUGGAAUAGUUUAUCAAGUAUCAUUCAAAGAGCAACUAAAUAAUGCAUGUGCCUUCUGAAGAGAGGUUUCUGAGUGGGAAGUGUUUGGAGAGAGGCAGCACAAAUUCUCCAAGUCCCGAAAUUUUAGAUUGUUCACUGUAAUGCCCUGUUACUGCCUGCAAACAAUGAAGUGUAACUAUUUCCCAGCCAUACUUGGAAAUUUCAGUCCACACUUGAAAUUAUGUGUUUUAAUGACCAUUUGUGGUAUGGUCACCAAUGUGGACACCAUGGGCACCACCACCCAGCUGCUCACAUUUGAGGUUAGAAUUCCCUCAGUGUCCUGCCCAGUGCUGCCGGGAAUCCGGCGAUCCCACCGCCGUGCAGGAACAGGGCACAGCUGUGGCACCCAAGAGCACCAACACAUCAGGAUUUCUGUUCUUGUGCUACUACUGGCAGAUGGUAUUUAUAACAUAUUAGUCUCAACAUCACACUUUGAUUUUUUUUUUUAAGUACGUAAAAGCACAAUUGCUUAUUCUACACCUGGCCUUGAAUAGACGGAUUUUAAAAUUUCUCUCAAUAUAAAAAAAAUUCAAACAGCUCUUUAUGAAACAUGCCAAUGCUGGUUUGCUCUCUUAUCCAUAAUCGCCACCCUUCCCUCGAGCCCUUUUUAUCUUCAUAAUUAUAUGUAAUCCAUUAAAUUCCUAAAAACAAUUCAUCUAAGGGAGAAGAGAGAUGGACUAACAACCAGACUUAAGAUUUUGGAAAGUGGUUUGCCCUAAAAGAUGAAAAGGACAGAAGCUAUGACAAGCAGCUGCUGCCAAUAAAAGUAUUUACCUCCUGACCUCUCCUCUGCCCACUCAGUGAACAGUGCCAAUUGUUUUCCUGUAUUAUAUACUGUUUACAAGCCCUGAUUGGCAUGAAAGGAAUUAAUAAUUCAGUUCAUGGAGCUGAUGACCUUUAUUGGGGUACCCCUGUUUGCUGAGCAGGAAUCAGAGCAAAAAACUCCCUCAAAGCCACAGGGUUUCUUUAAGAGUUUUUCACUUUACAGCCUAACUGGCCACCAUAACAUAAAUCAAUUAUUUCUCCUGUUUUAAACAACAAUGCUACCUAUUCUCAACCCCUCGAUUUCUAACUUCCCUUGUAUCAAGCCAGGCCUUGUUCUUUGACUUUUACAAUGGUCUGGUAAACACACUGGCAAGGCCGGCUUGGAGAGCUUUGCAGGAUCGGGAACAUUUGGGAACACCAGCAAAAAGAGGUUAUGCUAUUUUGAACUUCUCUUGACCUUUGCCUGCCCUUGUCUCUGUUUAUGCUAAUUGAAGGGGUAUAUGGGCUACUCCUAGAAAUGAACUUAGCCUGAACCUGUGACACAGCACUGGACUUUAAAGAUGAGUUGUGGUACCACUCCCCAAUGUUGUCAUCUCACGUAUGGGAAGAGCUCAGCAGAUAACACAUGGUACCCUGGGCACUGCAGGGAUUCCCAAGGUGGGAAUGAGCAGAACAUGAUGACUUAGUGAGUCCCAUCAUGUUCCCCCCUUCCGAGCAGCUGCUCUCCUGAUGAGGAUCAAUCAAUCACACACAUGGAUCUGUGUGGCACAGUCCCGGUGCUGCCUGUGGGGCUGCAAGCUGGACAUGUGCGUGGGACAGGCUCAGCAGGCACAGAAUGUUCCAGAGGUGACUCUGCCACGUCCCACAGAAGGCACCAAGUGCUUCUGUCAACCUCGUGGCCAUAAGCUGUCACAAGCACAGCCUGACUCAGUUGUGAGGUUCUCCAGGACCCCAGGUCCUCUCUGCUGAGCUGCUCCCCAGCCUGCACCAUUCCAUGGGGUUAUUCCAGUCCAGGUGUAGGACUUGAUGUUUGUGUCUGUUUAACUUUGAAGUUUUAAUCAACCUUUUCCUUCAGGUUAUCAAGGUCCUUCCGAACAGCAGCUGUGCCCUCCCAGUUAUCAAUCUGGUGUCAUCUGCAAGUCUGAGGAGUUUGUCCAUCCCACCAUCCAGAUGGUUGAUGAAAUUGCUCAAUAGUAUUGGCCCCAACACUGACUCCCAAGGACAAUCACAGCAUAGUGAGUGCUUGAACUCGACUGCCACCCUUUGAGCAAAACAGCCCAGGUUUUCACCCAAACUGCCUACAAGGAUGCAUCAGAAGCCUUGCCUAAGGCUAAGGUUAAUGACAAAAUUACCCUCCCCUCAUCCAUGGAUCCAGUCAUUUCAUCACAGAAGGAAUGAGGUUGGUCAGGCAUGAUCUCUCCCCUUGGAAAACCCACAGUGAAUGUUCCCAAUUACCUUCCUGUCCUUCAAGUGCCUGGAAAUGCCUUUUGGGAGGAUUUGCUCCAUACCCUUCGCACUGAGGGACUGAGACAAGGCUGACCAGCCUGCAGUUGCCCAUAGCAGCUACUACUCAGCAGAGCUGAGUUAAAGGUGAUUCAUUAUCCCUUAUCAGCUAAAUUUUACUAUACAGAGACAUUCCUCCCCUUUCCCCUACAUUGGGUAGAGCUUGUCUCACCUCAGCACUGAAAACACACACUGUUUGCAGAGAGGAGUGGGAAAUAAGGUCAUCUCAUGAUAAAUAUUUUUACUUCUUUUCAUUUACGUGGAAAACAAUCCCAGUUCCUGCUUACCAACAAAACUGAAAGGAAACCUACACAGAGUUGAGUGUUCCAUGUACCUGCACUGUAUUCCUCAAUAUACUCUCUACAAACAUUGUUAUUUUAAAUGCCUGUUUACAUUCCAGUAAAAUUCUGUCAGCGUGGUAUCUGAUUUAUUGAUGCUAUCAAAAGUCACAAGAUUCCUGACAUGCCUCCUGAGGCACAAAAAUCAAAGCAGAAGGGAGAUGCAUGUUGUUGCAGUAUCAGCACUACCACAUACCUUAUGAGCUGGGUUUCCAGAAGCCCUCUGUGAUUUCUGGGACAGAGCACAGUGCACUUCUGGAAAGCUGCUGCUUCCCUGAGAGGUUCAGCAGGCUCUGCUCCUGAAAAAUGGGGUGGAAGUGCCCUCAGAGCUGGCUUGUGGUAACAGCAAGGCUCAUCAAGGCAGCUCUCAGCCAGCUCAUUCCUCUGUAGGGGACUCAUACACAUCUGGCAUCUUAUUUUAGACUUUUAGGCUACCAAAUGGGAAAACACAGUCAAGCACCAAAGCUUUUUAGAAAAAUUAUGAUGAUGAAGUAAAAAACCUGUCCUAAAAGAAAGGCGAUCAUCUCUCUCUGUUUCACAUCCAGUGCCUCUCAGCACGCAGCACCCCAGCCCACAGGCACACUGUCUUUGUCCCGGGGCAUGAAGAUUUGCAUCUUCUCUACCUGGAGGACAUUUUGGUUUAUGAGGAUAUUGCCUACCAGGCAGCCCAGCCUACUCCAAUAUUGAAAGAUCAAUUGCAUAAUCAGUUUGUAAAUCUGGGGAAAUUCUUUAUUGACUUUUUGAUCACUGAUAAAGUGUUGACCAACACAAGGCAUACCACUAUAGCAAAAUCCAUCUAGAGUCCACUAGAAUUACCUACCAGAAUUGACCAGAAAAAAACCAGAAUUGACUGAUAUUAUACAAGAGAUGCUAUUUUUUGAAGAGUUAACAUCAAGACAGAUUAAUACCGAUCUCCUGAUAAAUAAUAGCAUGUUAUGAUAUACAGAAUAUGCCAGAAAUCAUGUUGCAAAUUAGCCAGUGUUCCCAGAGGCAAGUUGUUCUAGACCCCAAGCAGUGCACCAUGUUAGAAACGCCCCUGUAACUGGGCCUCUUCACCAAGAUGCAGGUAACCUGCCCAUUUAAUGCAGCAGAUAGUGCAGCAGUGGCACUGACACACCAGAUCCUGCAGAAGCAGGACAUGGGACCAAUCUGAAAACAGCUUUUUUCCCUAAUCUCAAGGUUAAUUAAUUUCACGGUAUUUAUCUUCCAAUUUUAAUUAGAGGAGAUAAUAUUACAGCUGCUAACUGCAAUGGGCUUGAGCUGCUCACUGCCCAUGCCUGCCAGGACCUGGCUGACCGCACCAGCCCGGGAUGAGGACAUGGACUGUCCUCACUGGGGGGUGAAUUUGAGGCAAUAUCGUGACAGAAGCCUUCAAUGUGAAAAACAGGUGUAAGCACCACACACCGGAACAAGUUUCUCAUGGUUACCACACGGACACAGAAACACUGAAUCAUCCAAAUCAACCACUGAAUGUAUAAUUAACAUUACAGCGGCAUUAGAGGGAAGAAGCCUCCCAGCUGCUGGGGUGCCGUGCGCUCCUGCCACGCUCGGCUGUGGCACGAGCUGGGUGAUGCCACUGUCACACCAGAGUUACUGCUGGUGGUCAGGAUUCAAACCCACGGGUCUCAGCACACGGAGGACACGUGUUAGAACCUGAUAUUCUCUGUGCUGUGUGAAUCAAACAGCAGAGCUGUGUCUCUCACCACCCGUCACACGAGGACAAAUGAGCGGCUGAACAUUCCAAGUGUCAGUGUGGGAACAGUGCUGGGUGUGGCUCUCUCAUUUUUGUGAGGUCUCCCCUUCCCACAGGCCACCUGGAAGUGGCUGUGGCUCGUGCUGAUGGCUGCAAUAACUGACCAGUCCUUGAGACUUCAGGUUUUCCUUCCAUUAUUGAUUUGAGCAUCUUGCUCAUAAAAUUCAGUGAUCCAGACCCCACCGAGCACUUCCCUCUCACCCCACCAAUGCCAGCAUCCCGGGUUUUGUUGGAGUGAAAGGCUCACAUUAAGCAUUUGGCCUCCCAGGGAUAGGGAUUACAAACAGGCAGGAAUCAAGGGAAAUUUGAUUCUUUCUCCCCACCUACCUCUCUGCCUACUGUCUUCCAUGUUUGCAAACCGUAUUAGCUCCUGCUGCUUGCAAUUCCAGAAACACCUCCCUUUCUCUUUGGGGCUCAUUCCAGCCACAUCUGCCUAUUGCUAUAAUCUCAUUUUGCAGGAUGCCACAUCUCUUAGUAGCUUUUAAUUGUGGUAACACAUCUAAGCAUCUUAAAAAGCACAUCAGAAACUGUCUGACAGAUAGAAAAAUGCUCUUCAGAAUAGAAACAUCCCUCCUGAUAUUUGGAUAUUUGUGGAUAUUUGUCUCCACUUGUACAAGAAAAUUACCUUAAAUGCAGAAAAAUAUCUAUAUUUUUAAAGAGAAGGCUCCUAAUCUUUUCAAUGAGAAAUUAAUUCUGGAUUGAAUUUAGUAUACACUGCUGCUCUGAAGAACAAUCUGAAUUUUAAUUGACUUUUAAUCUAACUUAAAUAAUACAGGAGUUCAUGUUUUGCCAAUUUCCAAGGAAAGACACUGCACAAUUUUACCUUUUAAAAAAAUCUCUGUUGGAAGACAUAUGAUUACAAGUUUUACAAUUUUAAAAUAAUUGUUACAUACAUUGCUAAGGGAAAUCUAUUUGUAUUCUUUCUUUUGAAGCUGCUCAGCACUGGUGCUCCACAGAUGGCCAUGUUCUGCUUGGGCAGUGGUGGGUAAGGCUGGUCCCCCUGCACCCCCACCCAGCCACGGACCACAGCCACGUCUGAAACAUCUCACUCUCCUCAGGAAAAAUCAUCACCUCAUAAUCUGCUGCCUGCUGGACUAAAGGAGAUGAGAAAGGCUGCGGCACUGCUGUUUAUUUUGCCAUAGAUAUGGCAUUUCUUCUGUAGCAACUAUUGCAGAGGUUUUCCUAGAAAAAAAAAUUAUAAACAAGUCUCUUGUUCCAAUGUAUAGCAUCUUACUAGAACAUUUUCUAGUAUUUCUUAUUUGAAUUUCAAAUGAUUAUUUGAACUCUUACUUGAAUUCAAGUAAUCCCUAUCCUGCAAUAAAAUAUCCUACAGAUGUUGACAACUACAGUUCACUUACUAUUGGGCAAUCUAUAUAUACUUUUUUAGCAUAACUCAAAGAUAGAAAAAGAGGCCAAGCACCCAGAGGUGUAUUUCUUCCCCAGUAAGUUUGAAACAGCUUAUAUUGCUUCUUGCAAUAGAAGCUGUUUCAAACUUACAUUGUUUCAUGAAAAAAGGGCAAAAUUUAAAAAUUCUGAUCCUCUAGAUAAAAACAUGCUGCUGCUGGACCUGCCACUUCAGAACAUGGAGGUUUGGGAACAGGAAACAAACCCUUCACCUACCAGCUAUAGAAAAGGGGUAAAUAAAAAAACCAAAUCUAAGAACAAAACAACUCAGCAUUACUGGAAACAAAACCUUGAGUGCAGGCUGGAGCUUGCCUCUUACAAAAGCCGAGUCCCUUGCACCGAGGGUGUAAGUUACCACUUGUGAGUAAGGACCAACACAGCCCUUUCCUUCUGUCCACAUGAAGGAACAUUUCUGGCAGGGCUGGCGAUCCCCAUUUCCCACAUUGUGUGAUUGAUUACACUCUCUCCCUUAGAAGAGCUGAUUGGUUUCCUGGUGCCAGGAAAAUGAUUGAUGAAUAUUUCAGGCCAUGGGCCUCUCUUCCUGCUGGGUGUCCUUUUCACAUGUCUCCAAUGGGCCUGGGGAUUUUUUUUCAAGACUAGGAAGUGUCAUUUUUAUGGAUAUCAUCCUGUGAUAGGGACAGUUCACUGAGCAGAGGCCUUAUGUAAAUCCAAGUGAAAUACUAAAGGUCAGCUCAAGUGUUAAGGUGAUGGACCCAGUUGGCAGCACCAGGUAAGCAGGAAAACAGAACUGGGCAAAGAAAAGCUUCACAAAGCAGCAACAAAGCAGGAGGCACCGAGCAGCCACACCCUGAGCUUGGUACAGCAGCAAACUGGUACCCAACACUGGCAUCUUUCCUCAGCUCCCUUCAAUUUUGUACAACACCACGAGUAAGGUAAAUUUGCAGGUAAGAACAACCCCUGCUUGUGACCCACAGAAAGGGCAUUUCCUUAGCACUGCUGAUAAAACAGGCAGAGGAUGGAGAGUCUCCUGGCAAAAGCACUCACAAGACAUCUGAAACAACAUACUUAGGAAUAAUUCCUUGUAAGUAUUGCCAAACAACAUAAAGCUACAGCUGUGAGACUGAAUGAAGAGAUUUUUGGAGGACGAGCUGGUGUUUGGCAGAACUUUCAGAUACUCAAAGUUCUUUUACAAACUUUUACUACAACCACGACAGCCAUCAUUUAAUCACUUGGCUUCAGGAUCUGAGGGCUCCGCAGCAAUUCCCGCAGGUAAACCCUGGGCUUCUCAGCAGCAACUAAGCAGAAUAAACCCUAACGCUGACAGGAGCCCCAUGCACAUUUACAGCUCAGGGGUACAGCAUCAGCAGGUUUGUAAGCAGUGCAAGGAGCCCACCACAAUGAACACCUUCAGACACUGUACCACCAAUGCAACCCACAUUUCCUGCAGGAAGAGCUGGGGAGGCUUUAUCCAACAAGAGAAUUUUGGGAUUUAGUCUGAAGGACAUCACAGUUCCAGAUUAUGUUCCCAUAAAAACUACUGAAGGUUUCCCCUCAAGUUUCAGCUGGGAGGUAUUUCCAGACAAGGACAUCACAGCAAUUUGCAGUCAGCCUGGCAUUAGAGCUGUGAUAGAUUUUUACUGGGGUUUUUUUUCAUGUGUUCACAAAGGAAAAAAAGGCUUAAAAAAAAUUAAUCUUUCACACUGACCAGGCAUUUCUCUAAGUUUAAAUUUCACCACAUCUACAAGCCUACGGCUGGGAUGAUUAGGCAAUGGAAGACAUGUAACUUGUGCUCUCUGAAGGACGCAGGGUCCACCCUGGGUAAAUGAAGCCUCCUUAUCGAAGUGCUGGGGGAGAACUCAGAUACUCCAGGCAUAUACUGCUUUCAAGAUAAGUUAUUGGCAAUCAUUUACCAAUAAAGAACUUCACUGAAGCCA